rnacentral:rRNA from 1 species
AGUGAACGCUGGCGGUAGGCCUAACACAUGCAAGUCGAACGGCAGCACAGUAAGAGCUUGCUCUUACGGGUGGCGAGUGGCGGACGGGUGAGGAAUACAUCGGAAUCUACUUUUUCGUGGGGGAUAACGUAGGGAAACUUACGCUAAUACCGCAUACGACCUACGGGUGAAAGCAGGGGAUCUUCGGACCUUGCGCGAUCGAAUGAGCCGAUGUCGGAUUAGCUAGUUGGCGGGGUAAAGGCCCACCAAGGCGACGAUCCGUAGCUGGUCUGAGAGGCUGAUCAGCCACACUGGAACUGAGACACGGUCCAGACUCCUACGGGAGGCAGCAGUGGGGAAUAUUGGACAAUGGGCGCAAGCCUGAUCCAGCCAUACCGCGUGGGUGAAGAAGGCCUUCGGGUUGUAAAGCCCUUUUGUUGGGAAAGAAAAGCAGCAGGUUAAUACCCCGCUGUUCUGACGGUACCCAAAGAAUAAGCACCGGCUAACUUCGUG